rnacentral:rRNA from 1 species
GACGAACGCUGGCGGCGUGCUUAACACAUGCAAGUCGUACGGUAAGGCCCUUUCGGGGGUACACGAGUGGCGAACGGGUGAGUAACACGUGAGUAACCUGCCCACAACUUUGGGAUAACGCUAGGAAACUGGUGCUAAUACUGGAUAUGUGCUCCUGCUGCAUGGUGGGGGUUGGAAAGCUCCGGCGGUUGUGGAUGGACUCGCGGCCUAUCAGCUUGUUGGUGGGGUAGUGGCCUACCAAGGCGGCGACGGGUAGCCGGCCUGAGAGGGUGACCGGCCACAUUGGGACUGAGAUACGGCCCAGACUCCUACGGGAGGCAGCAGGGGGGAAUAUUGCACAAUGGGCGCAAGCCUGAUGCAGCAACGCCGCGUGCGGGAUGACGGCCUUCGGGUUGUAAACCGCUUUCAGCAGGGACGAAGCUUUUUGUGACGGUACCUGCAGAAGAAGCACCGGCUAACUACGUG